CCUCUCCCUGAGUCCCUCUCCCUAUCCCUCUCCCUCGAAUCCCUCUCCCUAUCCCUUCCCUCCCUCGACUCCGACUCACAGUGCUCACGACCUCACCACUCUCACAGCGCUGUCGCGAGUCGCGACCAACAUCAUCACCCCCCAUCACCACCUCCGCCGUCGCAACCACCAUCAUCACCCCAUCACCACCGUCGAUGCUACUACCAGUACCAAGGCAAGUACCAACCAUCAUCCCUCUAAAAUUUAUGGAAUUUUGAAUUAGGUUUUACUAUUAAUGUGAAUUUCUGGUGUAGGGAUUUUUAGGGGUUUUAAGUUAGAAUUUGUAGAAUUUAUAGAUCGAUGAUUGAGUUAUAAAAAAUAUUCCUCUUUUGAUUUUUUUCAGAAAGAGAGGAAUUGCCCGCCUGCGGGAACCUCUGCUUCUUCUGUCCUUCAACAUUUAGUCUUUAAAUUUAGGUUUAUGUUCAAUCUAAUCGUGCAAGUGUAAUUACUGUUAAGCUUCAUUUCUGCUGUUACUAUUGCAGCCGUGAGUCCGUGACUGCUUUUAAUAAGUUAUUUUGUAGGUCCUAGUUGAGACUUUGAAUAGUCUUGAUAUCAGACGGUUGCUCCGGUGCCCGUAGAUGGGAGACAAGCUGCUGCUGGUGUAUUGAAUCAAAUUCAAGAUGGUAAGGUUGUUGUUUCCAUGGCACCCCAAGCGUCUGCUAUGUGACAAAUAUAAAUAAUAAAAUUCAUAUAUAAUGUGUUUGUUCUUUUUUUUUCUAAUGGUUCUACAGUUAAAUAAGAAGAAAUAAGAAUUUAAUUGUAUGGGUUUGUGGUGGAUGCUUCUCUGGUUUUGAAAUUGGAAACCUUUAUUGUUGUUCUGAUAGUAUGACAAUUAACAUUGUUUCUUGUGUAUAUGAGGAAUUGUUUUAGUGCAAAGUAUUGGGUUUCUUUGGAUUUUAGUUGUUCUUGAAUCGAAAGUAGUGAAACACUGAAAAUUCUUGAUACAG
rnacentral:lncRNA from 1 species